UACGGAGGGGGCGAGCGUUGUCCGAAGUUACUGGGCGUAAAGCGCGCGUAGGCGGGUUGGUAAGUCCGCUGUGAAAGCCCGGAGCUUAACUCCGGAGGGUCGGUGGAUACUGCCAGUCUUGAAGGUGCUAGGGGGAGAUGGAAUUACCGGUGUAGCGGUGAAAUGCGUAGAGAUCGGUAGGAACACCAGUGGCGAAGGCGGUCUCCUGGGGCAUUCUUGACGCUGAGGCACGAAAGCGUGGGGAGCAAACAGG
rnacentral:rRNA from 1 species